rnacentral:rRNA from 1 species
UACGGAGGGUGCGAGCGUUAAUCGGAAUCACUGGGCGUAAAGCACGCGUAGGCGGCUUUUCAAGUCAGGGGUGAAAUCCCACGGCCCAACCGUGGAACUGCCUUUGAAACUGUAGAGCUUGAGUGUCGGAGAGGGUGGCGGAAUUCCAGGUGUAGGAGUGAAAUCCGUAGAUAUCUGGAGGAACACCGGUGGCGAAGGCGGCCACCUGGACGACAACUGACGCUGAGGUGCGAAAGCGUGGGUAGCAAACAGG